AAAGCAUUUCUUUCUCACUCUGUCUGCCUCCUCAAAGGUCGAAACUGGAGCUGAUGAAACUGUACUACAUAUUUAACAGAUAACUGACAGUGAGAGGAAGUUUGGAUAGGAAGUUUUCACAAGUCAAGUAGUGACAACGACAUGUGACAUCUUUGUGAAAGGACACUAGAACUUCUGUCACUACAUAUCUGAAAGAGUUAUUAGCAGAGUACAGUACACUAGACAUUUUUUUAUUUUUCCCCAAGACAAAACAUCAGACGUAUUUAGGAUUUCUGGUGAACCUGAGGAAUUUUGGACCCUUCUUCCCUCAAGAUCAAGUCUGGGCAGGUCUAAAUGUGUGAGAACGAACUACAAGAAGUGAGAGUUGAGGAUGCUUUACUUGAACAGCCUGAGCCGAGGGCUAAUGGGUGCAGUGUCCUCUGUCGGGACUUCUGUACGGACAAAGACCAUCGCAAAUUAGCCAUUUGCAGCAUCAUAUGUGGCCUCUCCUGUCUAGGAAUUAUGUCCUUUAUGUACUCAGUCAAGGCCCGAGAGACAAGAAAACGACUUCAAAAUGAAGAUAGUCCAGAAACACGAGAGAUGGUUAAGAAAUACUCAAAAAAGGCGUGUAAAUGGGGUAUUGGGUCCAUUGUAGCCUGGGUAAUUUUAAUUCUCAUCUUUCCAUUGCUGCUGGGAUUUCUGUCCUAUGUUUUAACCUUCAUAGAUUGACACUGAAGAAGCUUUUCUACAGUUAAGUGAGUAAUGAACUCUAAGAGAGC